AGGGGUAUAGCUCAGUGGUAGAGUGCACGCUUAGCAUGCACAAGGUCCUGGGUUCAAUCCCCAGUACCUCUU
rnacentral:tRNA from 1 species